UAUGGAUACAAACUGCAGAGGCAUUUCCUGUUCCAGGUGGUUUUGAGCAGAAAGCCAGCCAGUGUGGGUUGAAGGUAGGUGGGGUAAAAUUCUUCAGGAACUGCUCCCAGCAAAUAUGAGAGUAAUUCAAAGUUAUACUGGGUCGACUUCCAAAGCACCCGGCCCCAAGUGGAAACAAGGCUUGUUGGAACGAACUAAGUUUAGAAACAUAACCAGCAUGGACCACCUUCGGGCUUGCUCUUGUCCAUGUGGCAGGCCCCAGAAUAUUGGGAUUAUGAUUUUUUUUGGAUAAGAUAAGGGGACCAAGGCUGACUCCAAGCUCCCAAGGAGGUAUAGGGCUUCUGGGGAGCUAAAUUGUUCAGAGACAUUUAAACCAAUGUCCUUGGGAUCGAGACUGGCUUCUCUGAAGUGCACACGAUGAAGUAGUAACUAGGUACAGGCUUAUCAUGUAUUUUUCAAGGAAAAUGCUUUUCCAUCUGUCAAUUUCUGGUCCUGAUUGGACACCACUGAGAAAUUCUGAGAGGCUUCAUGGGUUGCAGUGAACUCAGAGGAAAGGAGGAAUUUGGACACACUAAUAAGCCUCUUGGAACUUCAGUUUGCAAUUCUAUAGCACAUUUACUGGGAUUAGGGAUCAGGCUUCUAAGGCACAGCUUGGCUCAGUGAUUGGGAACCACUAUUAUGGGUGUCACUGUUCCUAUUUGCAUGUGUGGUCCAUAGGCUUCUGAAGUUAACAGGGACAGUUAUGAGAGCUAGCCAUUCUGGGCAGCAUCCACCUGUUGUUACUUGGUGACCCUAAGGUAAGUUUCAGUAAAGAAUUCAUAUUUACUCUAGGACUUAAAAGGAUUCUGAUCCCCUUCUGUUAUUCUUAUACUGUCACAGAAAACCUUUUUUUGUUUGUUUGUUUGUUUUAUCCAGGCAUUUGGGACUGGGGUUAGGCAGAGGAAUGGUGUUGGAAAAUCUCAGAAGCCAGAAUCUGAGGCCAUAGCUCUUAUAUGCAGGGACUCCUGCUGGUGCUUUACGGAAGAACCAACAGGUUGACCUCAGAAUUGGGUUAGAUCUUAGAAUAACCAGAUUAUGAUUUUGUGAAUAAGGAUAAAAGGUGACCUCAGCCUCCUGUGGAGGUCCAGUGUCCCGUACAGCAGAAAUGUCAUUCCAGGUAAGAAUAGUACAUCCCCAAUGCACCAAAUGGGAAGUAUAACUUUUGUGGUAACAUUAGGUGAUGGGGCUUCUGAUGCCAACAUUGGUGAAGUUGAUCCAGUUUCUUUAGGUGGGCAAAAAGAGAAGGGCUGGGCUCUUUGGAGGUGGACCAUCACGCAGAGGAAACUGCCAAAAGCUGCACAAGCCCCAUUUCAGAUAGCAUUCAUAAGCAUUGUUCUAUUUGUAGAGUGACAGCUGGGACAGCUGGGGAGAAGUGUGCCAGGCUUGGCUAGGACAGUGUCCAUGCAGGAGAGGUUGGGAAAGACUCCAGGGCUGACAAAGACCAGCAUGCAUGUCCACUUGAGAGAUGGCAAGGUCCUACCCUGGCAGCAGGAAAAGCAGCUGCCAUCAACCUGCCAGCCCAUGGGAUGGGAGCAGUGGGGGCAGGCAAGAAAGCUGCAGAGGAAGAGCAAGGCUCCUGGUACCCAGGAGAGACACCCAGGGGGGCUGGGGUGCAGCGAGUCCUCCAGCCUAUUCCUAAGGCAGGCAUUUGUGGAGUGUCUUAGUGCUUCAAGUAUUUCCAAAGUCUUACAUAACAGGAUUGUGGUCUUCACUGUACACUGGCCUACUGGGGAUUUGCUUUUUGUCUGCCUCAUUAGACUCUGAGUUUCUCAAGUAGUGACCAUUUCACAGAAAGGUGUGGAUCCUUUGUUGCAGUCUACAAAGGCAGGGAAGUGGACAAAGAUGCAUCUGUUUUCUGUCAGUGAUAAAAAUGGAAAUAAAAGGAUCUCUUGGGUCACUGUAAUUUAACCCAAAGAGUUUGAAACCACAGAAAUCAAGCCUUUUUUUCUUUUGCUUUCUGUUUGAAUCUCAAACAGCAACUUGCAACACAGGUUGAGAGAUUAUGAUAUAAAGGGAGCUUUGAAGAGAGGACCCUGGGUUAGAAGAUCAGCUACCUCUAGUUUGAAAUUGAACCCAAUCCAGGAACAUGGGAUUGGGGCUGGCAAAUGAACAUGGUGGUAGUAUUUCUAUCCUAGUGAACCAAGUGCAGGGGCAGUCUCUGGGUGCACUCCUGCCUGUGGCCCACCUCCAAAGAGCCCAGCCCUUCUCCUUCUGCCCACCUAAAGAAACUGGAUCAACUUCACCAAUGUUGGCAUCAGAAGCCCCAUCACCUAGGUGCAGUAAAGAACACUCACUGUUCAACUCAAUGCUCCAACCAUCCUGGUUCUUGAGGACCAGGCUGACCUUUGCUGGGGUCAAUGGUGAGGCUGGAGAUUAAACUUAGGACACAUUCUCCGUAUGAGUAAAGGCUUCGCUUAGUGAUUCUUCUUAAGUUUUUAGGCUUUAACCAUGGUUCUACAGAAUGUAACAAAGGCCAGCCGGGAAUGGAAUCCCAUUCUGUGCAGAGAUAUAGGUACUUGUGCUGGAAGUCAAUGGAGUUGGUGUUGGGGAAUUUGGGGCACACAGAACUAAGUAAAAAAACAUAUUAUUCUAUGUUUCUAUUCAAUUUAUGGUUGUUGCUCUUUUCCCAGCACAGAGGCCAUCCCCAGAGCCAAGGACAGCCUGCAAGCACUUCCUACAAGUGGGGUGCUGGAUGCAUGCUGCUUGGGCUCCUGUUGGAUAGGGAUCUAUUGGGGUGACUUUGGGAAACCGAUGCUACCCCAGGGACUCAUAGCUUCCUUUACUCUUCUGUCAUCAUUUUCCUUCUUGUUCAAAGCUUAGUGCUUCUGAUUCCAUCCCCCAUGAUCCAUAUUUGGCUGCACUUUAGCCAAAUAUGAUCGAACUAUUUUGUCCCUUUUGAGUACUCAGGUCAUUACAACUAAAGGUCAGGUGUUAAGUUAGAGUUGACAGGGAAUCAAAUUUAGCAGGCUAACCAUCAAAAUCAAUUCUCAGAACAUAAAUUGUGAAUUAAAUCAUUUUUGUUUUACCCAGAAAACUGUGAGCAGGUUUAUCUUCCACCACCCGGAUCCUCCGAGCUCCAGCAGGAAUGACGGCAGCUUCGAUAUAACCUGUGGCAACGAAUGACAGACAAGUGAACCACACCUCCAUCCUGGACCAAGUGCCUACACAGCAUCCCCCACCCAAAUCCACUCUAUCACACCCAUGUGGUGGAUUCAGAGACUGCAGGUUGGAACCUCAGAAAUCAACGCAGACAAUUAAUGUGCUGUGUUCUCUCUUCUACAGCCAAACCUCUUGUCCAUCCAGUUUGCAGAAAGUGCCAGCUGUAUGUGACAUAGGUUGAACUGAAACUCCUCUCCCUUGAAUUUAUAUGUUGAAGUCCUGAAAGUGUGACAUCAUUUGGAAACAGGACAAUUGCAGAUGUACUCAGUUAAAAUGAGGUUAGGAUGAGUCUUUAAUCCAAUAUUACAAAAGAUUUUUUUUUAAAAGGAGAAAUUUGAACACAGCCAUGCACACAAAAGACACCAUGAGAACAUGAAGGCAAGAUCAAGUGGUGCUUCUUUAAGCCAGGAAUGCAAGGUGCUAGCAAACCACCAGGAGCUAGGAGAAAGGCCUGGAAUAGAUUCUUCCUUGUAGGCUCAGAAGGACCCAACCUUGCCAACACUGUGAUCUCACAUUCCCAGCCUCUGGAAUGAUGAGUCAACAGCUGGUUGUUUAUGACACCUGGUUUGUAGCACUUUGUUACAGCAGCCCCAGCAAAUGAGUACAGCCUGGAAUUUCUCAUGAAUUACACCUCUCUGGUGAGUAGGUGAGGAGGACUCUGAUUUCAGAGUGAGGUUCCUUUACUCUCUUCUGCAGUUUGACUUUUCUCUGAAUAUCCCAGGGGAUGACAGCAGAAGCUAAGCAACUUGGCCUAUGUAUGACGAAACUAUUUCUUAUCCUGUGAACUGUUUUCUGAAAACAGUCAUUUCUGUAAUUCUCACAGUAUAGACAUUGGCCCCCUUUCUUGAUUUUUUUUCCAAGUAGAGUGGGAGCUGCCCAUGCUCUGACUGCUGGGUGCCCAGAGGGGAGGUAUCUUGAGGAUUCAGGGAGGAAAUGACUGAGGCUGCCAGGGCAGAAGUCAGCAACUGGUUAAUGCCUUGUUAACUCAGCAACUGAAUCAAUAAAUGAGCUCAACAUGACACUGAGAUUCUUAAAUGCAGGCUAAUAAUCAUUAAAAAUUUUUUUUUCAUUUGCGUUAGCAAAUGAGAUGAGGAGCUCAGUUUAGAUCAUGAAUCCUAUCCCUGUGGUUCCCAAAUGCAAUCAUCAGAAUCGGCAGAGGAGUUUAACCUCCACAAAAAAUUAGAGAUGUCUCAGCCCAGCUCCAUAGAUUAUGGAAAUAUCUAACCCAAGGGGUUUAUUUAUUUAUUAAUUUUCCCAUACUGAAGUGGCUUUAUUUUUAUUGUAAAAAUAGUACACGACAAUUCAAACAACAUAAGGCAUAAAUCAAAAUCUACCUAUACCACAUCACACUAAGAAAAUCACCUCUAAGUGAAUAAUAUUUUGGUGUUCGAUCAUUUUUCAGCAUCUCUUGGUGUAUAUACACCCAUUAUUUUAUGUAAAUUGGGUAUUAUGUGUGCUUUUAAGACACUAGGAACAACUUUAAAAUACAGUCAUGUGCUAUAUGAACUUUUAUGUAAAACUAAGCCAGUGACAUGUUUAUAAAAUAAUAAUAGUAACUUUUUUUUUGUUGUACUGGGGCUUGAACUCAGGCGUGCUUUAUCACUGAGCUACAUCCUCAGUCCAUUUUUUACUUAUUUUUUGAGACAGGGUCUCACUAAGUUGCUGAGACUGGCCUCAAACUUAUGAUCCUUCUGCCUCAGCCUCCCCAGUCACUAGAAAUGAAGGCAUGUGUCACCACUCCCAGCUAAUAGUAUCUUUAUGAAAGACACCAACCCACACAUAGUCUAUGCUGUGGGAAAUGUGAUUACAAUAUACCUGCUCUGAAGUCUUUGUAAUAUCUGGGAGAAACACAAUAUGAUGACCUCGGUAAUACACAAAAACACUGGGCUGACUUCCAUAUCUCAGCACUCUAGAACAAGAGAGAACUUUCUUUAACCUCACAAGUGACAGGGGUCACAUUCUCACGGUGAACCAUCUUUUCAAUAGGAAGUGCUCCCACAUGUGUUAAAUGUUACUGGUGAGAAUGUACAUCCUCAUUCUGUUUCUGAUUACAGUAGGAAUACUUAUAUUAUUUUUUCAUUUGACUAUAAAGUGGGUUUAGUGUUAUCUAUAUGGGAACACAGAAUGUAUAACAUAAUGUUUCACAUCUAACAUGCAUUGUGUAUAAUAAAAUCGUAUGAUGGAAGUAUACAUGUA
rnacentral:lncRNA from 1 species